AGGACGAACGCUGGCGGCGUGCUUAACACAUGCAAGUCGAGCGGAAAGGCCCUUCGGGGUACUCGAGCGGCGAACGGGUGAGUAACACGUGAGUAACCUGCCCUGGACUUUGGGAUAACCCUCGGAAACGGGGCUAAUACCGAAUAUUACUUGGCCUCGCAUGGGGUUUGGUGGAAAGUUUUUCGGUCUGGGAUGGACUCGCGGCCUAUCAGCUUGUUGGUGGGGUAAUGGCCUACCAAGGCGACGACGGGUAGCC
rnacentral:rRNA from 1 species